UAAACCCAAAGUAAAGGACUUUCAAACAUUUCUAAAGAUUUCCAACAUAUUUUGCAGCUAGUACUCAUAGAUCUCUCAUGAAUUGUUGAGAGAUUUGAUAUUGAUAGAUGUUGAAUCCUAUUUAGGUAUUUUUAGUAUUAGAAUCGAUUUUUUUUAUAUUUGUGUGUAAUUAUAAUUAGGUGGGCACUACUCAACUUCCUAAAUUUUCUCGGUUUAUUUGAGGCACGACGAGUCUACAAUACUACUUCGAUCCUGUACUAGCACCAAAGGGAAUUAUAGAAAGAGGGAAAAAUGGAGAACCCACUUUUUGGUGCUUAUUUAUUUUUUGAUUUUUGGCUCCAAAAGAAUUUCAGGAAAACCACCAUAUAUAUGAGAAAACAAACGAAGGAGUUUCGUUGCAAAGUGAAGCCAAAAUUUCUAAACCUGAACAAGAAGACCAGCAGAAUUUUGCAAAUCAAUGGCACCGGGAGGACGUGUCUUUAGGCAAACUACAAUUACUGGGGGAACUAUUCGAGAAACUCAAUCACCGAAUGAAUCAAAUAAACCCACUCCCUUUGUUAAUACAGAUGAUUUCGUUAGACUCAGGAAAGGUCGUGGCAAGACUAGAGGGAAAGGUCUUGAAAAAAUGAAGAAGGCUAUGGGAAGCAAGAUAAAAAUAGAAAUCUCAAUUGGUAAAAGAAGGCCAACUAAGCCAAUUCAAUCAGCCAAACUAUCCAAUGAAUUAGGGAUAAUUGCUCAAAAUUUUCUUCCACUUCCAAACAAGUGGAAGGAACUUACAAGAGAGGACAAAGAUGCAACACUAAUUAGAUGCCAUGAGAGGUUUGACAUUAAUUUGGAUGAGCAUUAUGUGAAAAAUAGUUGAGAGGAUAUUCUGAAUAAUAGAAGCCGACAAUGCCGCUACAAGUUAAAACAAAAAUUUGAAAGUGUACGCUCUAUGGAAUAAGCUUUGCGACAUGUGGAACGAUCGGAGCACAAGCAACGAUGUGAAAUAAACAAGGGAAAUCAAACAUAGCUUAAAUCUAAUCAUUUCAUGGGAUCAAAAGAAUUUGUAGCAGCUCGUGCUGAAAUUAACAACAUGAACGAUUUAAAAGCUCUAAUACUUCUGGAGAGUCUUCUAUAACUAUUGAUGAAAUUGUGGAUCUUGUACUAAGUACUAAGUCGGGGUACAUAAAAGGUAUUGGUUAUGGUCCUAAACCUAAUACUACAAGGGCAACACAAAGGAAAAUGGCAGAGUUAGAAAACUCCCUCAAAAAGGUGAAACUGGAAGCUGCUAGUGCCCAAAAUGAGUUACAGAAACGAUUAAAUGUAGUUGAAAUAAUGGUAAAAAGUCAGAAAUCACAGAUACAAGACCAACAGUUGCAAAUCAAAGCACUAAAUUUUCAUUUGAAUACUGUAGCAUCAUGCCAAGAGGAAAUGCUUAAGAAAAUGCAACUUCUUGUUAGCCCAUCGUCAUCAAGGUUAGAGGUCGGUGAACUAAUUGGAGGAAGCCAAAGAGAAGAGGAUUAGGAGGUCCUCAGAUCAAGGUGUAAAAGUGAGAGUUGAAUGAAGCCCAAUUGCAAGAUUUAUUGGUACUUUGGAAGAAACCUCUAUAUAAUGCCUUAGUUUAGAAUAGGAGUAAUAUUUAUUACUAUAUUUCAGUUAGAUUUCUUUUGUGUUGGACUUGUUUGACUUUUCUUUGCCUUUUGAGGAGAUAUUACCUCAAUACAGUUUUAAUUUUUUUAAUUGUAUGAUUGUGGGUGAAUUUUAUCAA